rnacentral:tRNA from 1 species
CCCUGGUUAGCUAAUGUUGGUAGAGCGCUCCACUUGUAAUGGAGAGGUCCCGGGUUCGAUACCCGGACCAGGCG